CUCAGCAGUCAAGAAUAUUAGUCAAUGCUCGAAAGAGUGAACUAGCUAACUGAAAUCAAUUAAAAAUAAUUGAUAACAUAAGGGAAAAUAAUGAUAAUACCUUAUUAUAAGUGUCGUCCAAAACUGGUGCCAGAAGACUCGGUAAGGCCAGAGACACAAACGUUAAUCGUCUUAAUCAGGCGUAAAGGGUUUGUAGGCGGCUUUAAAAUUAAUUUAAUUUUUUAAAUAAAUUAAAAAUAAAAGCUAGAAUCAAAUAGAGGAUAUAUUAAAGAAUGCUUAGAGUAGGUCUGAUAUCCUUAGAUACUAAGUAGAAUAUUAAAGGCGAAAGCUUUUUUCCAAUAAUGAUUGACGCUCAGAAACGAAGGUGAGGAUAGGAAAUAGGAUUAGAUACCCAAAAUACCCCUCUCUGUCAACGAUGAAUGGUAAUUAUUAGUAAAAUUUAUUAAUAAUAAUGUUAACACGAUAACCAUUCCGCCUUGUGAGUACAAUUGCAAAGUUGAAAACAAAAAAAUUAGUCGUUCGGAGCAACGAAGU
rnacentral:rRNA from 1 species